GUUCAUGUGAUGAAUUUGGGUGUUCAGCUGCUGUGGGUGACUCAGAAAUAAAUUAAAUUUCAAUUCUGAUUGGA